AAACGACUCUCGGCAACGGAUAUCUCGGCUCUCGCAUCGAUGAAGAACGUAGCGAAAUGCGAUACUUGGUGUGAAUUGCAGAAUCCCGCGAACCAUCGAGUCUUUGAACGCAAGUUGCGCCCCAAGCCUUCUGGCCGAGGGCACGUCUGCCUGGGUGUCAC
rnacentral:rRNA from 1 species